AUUGAACGCUGGCGGCAUGCUUUACACAUGCAAGUCGAACGGUAACAGGUCUUUCGGGAUGCUGACGAGUGGCGAACGGGUGAGUAAUGUAUCGGAACGUGCCCAGUAGUGGGGGAUAACUACUCGAAAGAGUGGCUAAUACCGCAUGAGAUCUCUGGAUGAAAGCGGGGGACCGUAAGGCCUCGCGCUACUGGAGCGGCCGAUAUCAGAUUAGGUAGUUGGUAGGGUAAAAGCCUACCAAGCCAACGAUCUGUAGCUGGUCUGAGAGGACGACCAGCCACACUGGGACUGAGACACGGCCCAGACUCCUACGGGAGGCAGCAGUGGGGAAUUUUGGACAAUGGGCGCAAGCCUGAUCCAGCAAUGCCGCGUGCAGGACGAAGGCCUUCGGGUUGUAAACUGCUUUUGUACGGAACGAAAAGCCUCUGGUUAAUACCUAGGGGUCAUGACGGUACCGUAAGAAUAAGCACCGGCUAACUACGUGCCAGCAGCCGCGGUAAACACG
rnacentral:rRNA from 1 species